rnacentral:rRNA from 1 species
ACACGACUACAUUAGAUACCCGUGUAGUCCUAGCCGUAAACGAUACUCGCUAGGUGUCGGCCACGGUGCAACCGUUGUCGGUGCCGUAGGGAAGCCGUGAAGCGAGCCACCUGGGAAGUACGGCCGCAAGGCUGAAACUUAAAGGAAUUGGCGGGGGAGCACCACAACGGGUGGAGCUUGCGGUUUAAUUGGAUUCAACGCCGGAAAUCUUACCGGGACCGACAGCAACAUGAAGGCCAGGCUGAAGACUUUGCCGGAUUAGCUG